rnacentral:rRNA from 1 species
CCCUUAGAUGUUCUGGGCCGCACGCGCGCUACACUGAUGCAUUCAACGAGUCUACAACCUGGUCUGAUAGGGCUGGGUAAUCUUUUGAAUGUGCAUCGUGAUUGGGAUAGAUGAUUGCAAUUCUUCAUCUUCAACGAGGAAUGCCUAGUAAACGCAAGUCAUCAGCUUGCAUUGAUUACGUCCCUGCCCUUUGUACACACCGCCCGUCGCUCCUACCGGUCGAAGAGUUAGGUGAAUUGUUUUGAUCGAUAAGAUUUGACUAUGGUCAACUCUCGUUGUGAAAUUCUGUGAAUCUGACUGUUUAGAGGAAGGAAAAGUCGUAACAA